GUUUAUUGUCAUACAUACUUGUCAAAGCCCGAUUUAGUUAAAUCUGUGAAACUAAGCAAGGCCUGGUUAGUACUUGGAUGGGAGACCAUUGGGAAUAUCAAGUGCUACC
rnacentral:rRNA from 1 species